rnacentral:tRNA from 1 species
GGAGGGAUGGCCGAGUGGACGAAGGCGUCUGUCUUGAAAACAGAUGUGGGUUUUAAAGCCCACCGUGGGUUCGAAUCCCACUCCCUCCGCUA